rnacentral:rRNA from 1 species
AUCCACCUGGGGAGUACGAUCGCAAGAUUGAAACUCAAAGGAAUUGACGGGGGCCCGCACAAGCGGUGGAACAUGUGGUUUAAUUCGAUGAUACGCGAGGAACCUUACCUGGGCUUAAAUGCAGGACGACGUUUCGGGAAACCGAUUCUCCCUUCGGGGCGGACUGCAAGGUGCUGCAUGGUUGUCGUCAGCUCGUGCCGUGAGGUGUCGGGUUAAGUCCCAUAACGAGCGCAACCCCUAUCGUUAGUUGCCAGCGGAUAAUGCCGGGGACUCUAGCGAAACUGCCGGUGUAAACCGUGAGGAAGGUGGGGAUGACGUCAAAUCAGCACGGCCCUUAUGUCCAGGGCUACACACGUGUUACAAUGGCCGAUACAGAGGGUAGCUACCAUGUGAAUGGAUGCGAAUCUCAAAAGUUGGUCUUAGUUCGGAUCGAAGUCUGCAACUCGACUUCGUGAAGCUGGAAUCACUAGUAAUCGCGUAUCAGCAAUGACGCGGUGAAUACGUUCCCGGGCCUUGUACACACCGCCCGUCAAGCCAUGGAAGCUGGGGGUACCUGAAGUCUGUAACCGCAAGGAGCGGCCUAGGGUAAAACUAGUAACUGGGGCUAAGUCGUAACAAGGUAGCCG